GUGACUGAGUGGCGGACGGGUGAGUAACGCGUGGAUAACCUGCCUCAUACAGGGGGAUAACAGUUAGAAAUGACUGCUAAUACCGCAUAAGCGCACAGUACCGCAUGGUACAGUGUGAAAAACUCCGGUGGUAUGAGAUGGAUCCGCGUCUGAUUAGCUAGUUGGCGGGGUAACGGCCCACCAAGGCGACGAUCAGUAGCCGACCUGAGAGGGUGACCGGCCACAUUGGGACUGAGACACGGCCCAAACUCCUACGGGAGGCAGCAGUGGGGAAUAUUGCACAAUGGGCGAAAGCCUGAUGCAGCGACGCCGCGUGAGUGAAGAAGUAUUUCGGUAUGUAAAGCUCUAUCAGCAGGGAAGAAAAUGACGGUGCCUGACUAAGAAGCCCCGGCUAACUACGUGCCAGCAGCCGCGGUAAUACGUAGGGGGCAAGCGUUAUCCGGAUUUACUGGGUGUAAAGGGAGCGUAGACGGUGAAGCAAGUCUGAAGUGAAAUACCCGGGCUCAACCUGGGAACUGCUUUGGAAACUGUUUUACUAGAGUGCUGGAGAGGCAAGCGGAAUUCCUAGUGUAGCGGUGAAAUGCGUAGAUAUUAGGAGGAACACCAGUGGCGAAGGCGGCUUGCUGGACAGUAACUGACGUUGAGGCUCGAAAGCGUGGGGAGCAAACAGGAUUAGAUACCCUGGUAGUCCACGCCGUAA
rnacentral:rRNA from 1 species